rnacentral:rRNA from 1 species
CCUACGGGUGGCAGCAGUAGGGAAUAUUGCACAAUGGGGGAAACCCUGAAGCAGCAACGCCGCGUGGAGGAUGAAGGUUUUCGGAUUGUAAACCCCUUUCGUCAGGGAAGAAAAUGACGGUACCUAACGAAUAAGCCCCGGCUAACUCCGUGCCAGCAGCCGCGGUAAUACGGAGGGUGCAAGCGUUAUCCGGAUUCACUGGGGGUAAAGGGGGCGUAGGCGGGAACGCAAGUCAGAAGUGAAAUCCUAGGGCUUAACCAUAGAACUGCGUUUGAAACUGUAAUUCUGGAGUACGGGAGAGGUAGGUGGAAUUCUUGGUGUAGCGGUGAAAUGCGUAGAGAUCAGGAGGAAUACUGGUUGCGAAGGCGGCCUGCUGGAACGUAACUGACGCUGAGGCUCGAAGGCGUGGGGAGCAAACAGGAUUAGAUACCCGAGUAGUC